rnacentral:rRNA from 1 species
UAGGGAAUCUUCCGCAAUGGGCGAAAGCCUGACGGAGCAACGCCGCGUGAGUGAUGAAGGUCUUCGGAUCGUAAAACUCUGUUAUUAGGGAAGAACAUAUGUGUAAGUAACUGUGCACAUCUUGACGGUACCUAAUCAGAAAGCCACGGCUAACUACGUGCCAGCAGCCGCGGUAAUACGUAGGUGGCAAGUGUUAUCCGGAAUUAUUGGGCGUAAAGCGCGCGUAGGCGGUUUUUUAAGUCUGAUGUGAAAGCCCACGGCUCAACCGUGGAGGGUCAUUGGAAACUGGAAAACUUGAGUGCAGAAGAGGAAAGUGGAAUUCCAUGUGUAGCGGUGAAAUGCGCAGAGAUAUGGAGGAACACCAGUGGCGAAGGCGACUUUCUGGUCUGUAACUGACGCUGAUGUGCGAAAGCGUGGGGAUCAAACA